rnacentral:rRNA from 1 species
UACGUAGGGGGCAAGCGUUGUCCGGAAUUAUUGGGCGUAAAGAGCGCGUAGGCGGUCCGGUAAGUCGGUUGUGAAAGUCGGGGGCUCAACCCUCGGAUGCCGAUCGAUACUGUCGGGCUAGAGUCCGGAAGAGGCGAGUGGAAUUCCUGGUGUAGCGGUGAAAUGCGCAGAUAUCAGGAGGAACACCAAUGGCGAAGGCAGCUCGCUGGGACGGUACUGACGCUGAGACGCGAAAGCGUGGGGAGCGAACAGG